CAUCACUGUCUCUCACUCGGGUAGGUAGAGCAGCACUAGUUGCAGAGUACUACACCUCAUCUUCCUCCUCAUACCCUCUACGUCGUCCCCAGGUGUACUGUAACCAUUGGAGACGAUACGAAUGCUGAUGUGGGGGACGGAGGAGGGGUUGUGGUUCGGAGCUUCUUUAGCUCCCAUGCGAACGAACUUAAGCCCUCGUCGGAACUGAGCUCUCGCUAUUUCUAACGCUACUCUGGCUCCGUCUCUUUCUCUCUCAAGAGCUCUCUAGGGUUUCUCUCUUAUUUCUUCCAAAAAUCUAGGGUUUUCAACAAUGCAUUCAGAUUUUUGAUUCUUUGUUGUACUCUGUCCCUCGAAAUCAGAAAACAUUAUUUUUUAGAGCGUAGCAGAGCAGAGGAACUCAACUGUCAUGGCCAAAACGAAGCCUGGGAAGAAAGACUUGGAUGCCUACACCAUUAAAGGCACUAACAAGGUUGUCCGAGUUGGAGAUUGUGUGCUGAUGCGUCCUUCGGACACCGACAAGCCACCUUACGUUGCACGCGUUGAGAAGAUUGAAGCUGAUAUUAGGAAUAAUAUCAAGGUUCGGGUUAGGUGGUACUAUAGGCCUGAGGAGUCAAUUGGAGGGAGGAGACAGUUUCAUGGAGCGAAGGAGUUGUUUCUCUCGGACCAUUAUGAUGUGCAGAGUGCGCACACUAUCGAGGGAAAGUGUACUGUCCAUUCGUUCAAGAACUACACUAAACUAGAGAAUGUUGGAGCUGAGGAUUACUUCUGUAGAUUUGAGUACAAGGCUGCCACCGGUGGAUUUACGCCCGACCGUGUCGCAGUGUAUUGCAAAUGCGAGAUGCCUUAUAACCCGGAUGACCUCAUGGUCCAAUGCGAAGGAUGUAAGGACUGGUUUCAUCCUUCUUGUAUGGGUAUGACCAUUGAACAAGCAAAGAUAGUAGAACACUUUCUGUGUUUUGAUUGCGCGUCCGACGUUGAUCCCAGAAGAUCCCCGAUCAAUUUGCCUGUUUCACCACCUGGUGAGCCUAAGAUGCUGGAUGCAGCAUGUGGAUCUUAAAGGAAGGAAAAGAAAUUUUGUUGAAGAGAGGAAAGACCGGAAGAGACAAUAAAAGCUGGUGGAGCCAAAGCGUCGGAAGAGGUGACUGGUUGAUGAUGAGGAGGAACUCAUUUCCUUGCAUGUUAGCACUCCAUUGAUGGUGUUAUGUGGAGUUGUACAGUGCAGAGAACAUACUGUGAUUGCACAAAUUAGAUGUUUUCUUAAUUCAUGUGCUUUAACUUCAUAUGAAUGCAUGUGUUUCCAUGCAUGCGUUGGAUUUGGGUCAAUCCCUGGUGAUGUCUGGUCUGUGUACAAACUGUGCAAAAAAUGUUCUCUUUUAAGGACGGGGUUCUUUGAAGAACAAAUGAAAUGGAGUGUUAGGAGAGGAAACUGCAUUUAAUGCUGGUCUUCAUGUGUGUUAUAUGUGCGCAGUUAGUAUCAAAGCAUUAGCUUGAAGGCAAAGCGAACGAUGGCACAACAAUUACUGUCCCACCGGCAUUGUAUUACUCAGCGCAGGGUUCGCUUCAUGACUCAUUGUAUUGUUGGAGCAUGCACUUUCCAUGAGGCCUGUGCGCCAGUUAGGCUUGCAAGCAUGGCUUUUUUUCUGUGACUGGAGAGGUCGAGUAAGAGGGUGUGUAUUGGAGCUGGAGGCUUCUUUCUCUCUCUCUCUCUGAAAUCCUCCAGUCACCGGAGAGAAAUUGGAGUCUGAGCUCUACUUCAUACUAUGUAUUUAUGCCCCGUUUGUGUGAUGGUAUAACUUUAGUUGAAUUUGGAUUUUGGUAGUUGAAAUUUGCCUGUUUGCAUCAAUUCUAGGCAAAAGAUUUUAUAGAUCGUUCAAAUCUGAAGUCGAUUGCACUA